AGACUGUUUCUUCUUUUGACACAGAAGCUCUUGUAACAGUUUUGUUCUUUAUAAAUCUUGUUGACAACAUGUGCAUCUUAUUAGAACAUUACUUCUUCUAUUGACACAUUUUUUUUAAUCCUUUUUCAGUUUAAAAGAAAAACGAAAUCUUCUAUGAGAUUAUCGUGACACUUUGAAUCCACAGUAAACAGAAGGUUCCUGCAAAAACAGCUCAGACUGUUUUACUGCUGACCCACUUGAAGCAAUGAUGUCAUGUCUCUGUGAACAUUUACCCUAAAACUUUUGCAGACUUGUGCAAACUGUUUUUUUCCCAGAGCAAAAAGAAAAGAUAAAAGGGCUCCUCUUUGUUGUGAACUGAAUACAGUCAAUUAAAAAGACGUUAAAAGACCUUUUAGCAGAGGUUUACAGUUAGAAAGAUUGAUUUUGAGUCAGUCUCUGCAGUCUGAUGCAGAAAGGUCGCCGAGUUGACAAAGAGAUGAUGGUUCACACUGUCAAGUUCAUGGAUAAGUGUACAAAUGGAAAAUAAACAGCUCUUAUUUGUUGCCAUGGUGACAGAUUGAACAAAAGUUCUGCAGAAGAGGAGGGUAUAUUUCUGUGAGCUGUUGCACAUUAGAAUAGAGCACCGCUCAUGUGUGUGCGCUCCCGGCCCCCGUGUCUGUGGGGAAGAACUGAAAACAAUGUCUGAAAAUUAUUAAAGACACCCCACACAGAAACAUCCACCCCCGUCGCUCAUUACCGCUCUCUUCUGCUUCUCCUGCAGGCCAAUGUGACCCUCAUCCGAGUCAAGUGUUGCUGCUCAGCGUUUUCACGGAGACGCAGUACGCCGAAGGGACGCUCAAGAAGAAAGUGCACAGUGGUGCGAGGGAGGAGAAGCAAAACAAGCAGCCAGGAGCCCAAAUUCUCUGUCAAGUUCUACCCAUCGACCGAUUGGUUCCUCGUUCCGUUGCUCGGCGCCGGGUUUUAGACAGCGGGGUUGACAUGGCAGCCGUGGGCGGGAUUAGAGUCCUGCUUCUGGUGUUGCUGCUCGAAUGGGACAAGUCAACUGGACUCAAUUGGAACCCAAUCCCACGAAAGACUGUCAGAUACCACGGUAAGUACGCAAACACGCUUGUUUUUACAGGGUGCUGGUCACUGUCUGCAUCAAAAUUUGUGGCGCAGUGGUUAGCGCUUAUGCCUCACAGCAAGAAAACCCCUGGUUCAAGUCCCGGCUGGGGGACCUGAACCAGAACACCAAUGGGGGACCUUUCUGUGUGGAGUUUGCAAAUUCUCCCAGUGCAUGAGUGGGUUCUCUCCGGGGACUCCUGCUUCCUCCCUCUGUCCAAAAACAUGGUUCAUGGGUUAACUUGUUACUCUAAAUUGUCCCUAGGAGGGAGUGUGAGAGUGCAUGGGUGUGUGAUUGUAGCCCUGCAACAGACUGGCAACCUGUCCAGGGUGUCCUCUUCCAGCUUUAACCCAUGAGCGGCUGGGAUAGGCUCCAGCCCCGUGCCCUGAAAGGGACAAAACGGGUUAGAAGAUGAAUAAAUGAAUAAUAGGAUUUAUGUCAAAAAAUGUAACGUGAUAAAUUUAGUGAAAAACUUAAAAGUCUUCCGUUGUCCCUGCAUUCCCCUGGACUUGUUAUAUAUAUAUAUAUAUAUAUAUAUAUAUAUAUAUAUAUAUAUAUAACAAGUCCUUGUGACAGUCUGUCAGUGAAAGGUGCUGUACAAAUAAAAUGUACAUACUUACUUACAAAGAGGAGGACUAUUUCAAGAACAGUGAAAUCCAAAGAGAAAGAAUAAUGAAAAAUGAAUAACCAGUGAUCAGCCGAUCCCUGGAUUACAGGAUUAAAGCUGUUUUACGGCUGUCUAACCCCUCACUUCACAUUUUGUCCUCUUUUCUCAGACAGGCACGAACAUUUCCAAACGUUUUCCUCUUUUGUCUAAACUCUCAAAUUUCAAGCCUUUGUUGAAAAAAUUGUCCAGUAUCACAGAAUAAAAAAAAAGAUCUGAUUUCUUGCAAAGAUUUAUGUUCCAUAAAUUUGGAAAACUGGAUAAAUUCACGACACUGAGUAGAUGGAUUGACUACAACCAAUCAGGAUGUAGAACACAAUGCUCUAUAGAAAAAAAAAAACACAUGCAACACUGCACACAAAAAACAGUGAGACCCCGAAAAGUGAACUGUGAUACGGAAAGCAACCGCUGUAUUUAUUAGCCGUUUAACAUCGUAGAUGUCACCAGGAACAUCUAAAUAACUAUUUGAACUGCCGGAACUCCUGAUGCGAUUAACGUUAAUUAUCUGAUUCUGACACAGAGAAGCGCAUCUUUACAUAUUAUAAAGUGUUAAAAGUGUUCCAAAACAGCGUAAAGCUGCUUUUUUCCGCUUCAGAAUUCAGUGGAAUUACGUUAAUUGUUCGAAAGACUGUAAUCACAGUGUUGAAGUUGGCAUAGUACAAACCUAAAAGUUGAUCAAACAGUUGCCUUUCUGAUUGCUCAGUCAUUCCUCGUAUUAAUAACGCAUCAUCGGAUACGUUUCGCCACGUUGGAUGGGUGCUCUGCGUUCCCUCAAAGGUCAGCGCGGUCAGAGUGUGGAGAACCUUUAGGUGAAAAUCUCUCAGCCUGGACUCCUCCACCUGACUCUGACUUCCCCGUUUCUCAGUCCGCCGCUUCAACGGCGUCCCGCGAGGCCGAUUUGCUGCAUUGCUCUGACAGAAUCCUCCUAUUUGGGAUGAUCUGUGUUGUUUCACAUCUGAUUCGAGUUUUCUGUUGUAUCAGAGGUUUUUUUUUUUUUCGUUUGCUAAAGAGGUUCUCCUCGGUGAAACAAAGCUGGAGUGUAAUCCGAGCUCUGAGCUGCAUUCUCCCUUUAUCUCCGUCUUUUCUCAGCAGGCAGACCCCGCUGUCCCCGCUAACAAUGGCUAUUGUUGAAAGCUGACAAAAAGGCUUUUUUUUAUAGCACCUUAACUUUUCUGUUCCUUUUCUCUCCACAGGGGAUUGUGAAAAUUGAAUAAAAAGGUUGAAAAUAAAAAAAGUAGAGUAAAGGUGUAUUUUUCCCAGGUCUUUGUUGCACCUAUCCCUCUUUUCAUCCCACAUCAAUCCCUUCUUUCCUGACUCCUCCUGCUGCUCCGUUACGCUGUUUAUCCCUCCCUUCUUUGGCUCAUCGCAUCAACCCCAAAUGCUCUUAUGCCAUUUUAACAAAGAGCUUCAAUUGCAGCCACUUUCGAGGGGAAUGGCGUUCCCGGUGGAGGGUUGUUGGGGGAAAAAAAAUGCUUAAAACCUUUCUUCAUGCUGAUAUCACCCACUCCCAAUUCCCUCCUCAUCAUCAGUACAGUUGUGGUGGGAAAAAACAAUCCACAGGGUGCUGAUAGUUUCUGCUAAAGCGCUCCAGUGAGACAAAUGGAAGGCUGGAGUCGGCCAGACGCAGCGCCUAAAAAAAUGAGAAGGGAUGAAGUAAGUAUACGUACGAGAAGACUCUUAUUUUCCAGGAAGCGAAGACAAGGCUUCAUUCCCUCUUAGUGGCGUCUUUUGAGCGAGCUGAAAGCCUUAUUAUGACUCCUCCAUGGGCUUUGAUUGAAGUGUUGCACCUGAGCGCGGGAACAUUCACCAAACCGCUCCAUUUGCAUUCGAAACAAGCGGGAUUAUCCCACUGCAGGGGUGAGGAACUGCAAUCUUUCAGGCUGAACGCCGGCUUCACUGAAUUUUAUGGAUGGCUUCUCUCUGCAAGGCUGAGGAGAGGGAAACCGCUAAAAACAGAAGAAGAGUCAGAGUGAAAAGAGAGACUGGGUGUAUAAUGGGGAAAAAAAGACUUGAAAGAUUAGUAGAGGGGCAAAGAAAGAGUCUGGGAGAGAGCGGCCAGCAGCUAUGUACCUUAAAAGGACAGAAAAGAGAUGAUGGACAGAAACACACACACACACACACACAUGCACCCUGUUUCAUGUCCCACUGCAGCACNNNNNNNNNNUCUAUCCUUGAGUAACGUUGGGUUUGCAUGCACUCUGACAGGAGGAGAGAUGCUACAGAAUGUGUGUUUUUUGUGUGUGCCGCUCUGGAUCUGCCUGCUUAAUUCCCCUUUGUUUACAUGUGUGUGUGUCUGCAUGUGUGUAGUGCUUAGGCGAGCAGUCUGAGGGAUUUGCAGCUCUGCGGUGUGGAGUAGGUGUGUGUGUUUGGGAGCUGGAAUGGGCUAUGGUGGGCCAGAGAUGGUUGAAAAGAUAAUAUUUACCCCCGCCCAUGACUUCCAUCCCUGCCCCCACCCUGCAAUUACACAAUGCCUGCACGGGCUGCAGGAGAAGAAACACAGACAUCCUUUUUUUUUUGCUUUUUUCACCGUUGUCAUUCCGCUAUCUUCUACUUCCUGUUGCCUUGAUUUUUCCAGGAUCACCUGUUGCAGCUGUCAGGGUUGCUGCGAUUCAAAAUAAACCACUAAUGAGACGUUUCAUGUAAGAGUCACGAUCGGAACGCCACAAUUGUACAGACUCUUUGAUAGCCUGUCACAUUUUCCUCAUCUUUGCCACCAAGGAUUUAUUUAUCUUGACUUUUUCGAUGACAUUAUACAGCAGUGACGUGCGGUGAGGUUAAUGGCUGGUGAGGCACUGACGUCAUCAGUCAGAUUUACAAACAUAUGAACCAUACUGAGUAACUUAUUCACCAUUUGAUUGACAACAGUUAACGUGUUUUGUUUAAAACAUCAUUUCAACAUGUUUUUUUUCAUAUACAAACUGCAGCAUAGAAAAAAUCACAAACGUUAUUAUCGUCUUACCUUUACUUGUAAAUAAAGUCCAUACGCCGCUCCUUCUGAAGAAAAUGACUUGCCGCUUGCUAUCACUUCUUCUAGUAUUUUUUAGCAUCAUAAUCUCAGGGCUCACUGGCGCCCCCUAACAUGAGGCACGAGAACUGCUGGCCUCACCCAGCAGCUUUUUCGCCGGCGUUUAGCGCUCAGCACAAGAAACACGUCCCUCACAUACAGUUAUUUAUAAAAACAAACACUGUACAUCAUAUACAUCUGCUAAAUUAUGCAAACUCAGCUCAUAU
ensembl:lncRNA